rnacentral:lncRNA from 1 species
AAAAAAACAGAAACGAAAAUUAAGUAUGUAAAUAUAGUUCUGUUAUAAUAGAACCUUUGGUAUUUUAAAACCACACAUAUAUGAUCAACCGAGCUACGAUUUUAUGACAUUUUCUCCCCAUUGUAUAUGUAUUGUUAUCACCCUUGGUUCGAUCGACAGCUAAAAACAAGGAUCGCCAACACAAGAUACCGCGUGAAUUUGUAUGCCUAUUCUUUUAUGUUCAUUUUGACAGACAUCAGUUAUUUACCAGCCAUCGUCUAAUGACAUAGGUUACAAUCAACACAGUUAAUAUGUGAAACUUUUUGAGCUGGAAAAUGUGAAGUAAAUUUGUUAGAAACAGCCUUUUUGUCUCAGUUUCUAAAAGUAUAUCUAGGGAAGAACGGAUACGUGAAAGUUUGUACAGCAAUUCUGAAAAAGAGUACUGAUACUCGACUAUACACAUUUUAAGAAGGUUCAUUUUCGAAAGGUUUAAAUGAGAAUAAAUCUUUUUUGCUAAAAUAAUACGUUUUAUUAACCAAUUUAUUGGCGCAUAUUUGUACUACCUUUUCUAUUUAAUUUCAGUUCCC